rnacentral:rRNA from 1 species
GAUGAACGCUGGCGGCGUGCUUAACACAUGCAAGUCGAACGGGAAUUCUUUUAUUGAAACUUCGGUCGAUUUAAUUUAAUUCUAGUGGCGGCCGGGUGAGUAACGCGUGGGUAACCUGCCUUAUACAGGGGGAUAACAGUCAGAAAUGGCUGCUAAUACCGCAUAAGCGCACAGAGCUGCAUGGCUCAGUGUGAAAAACUCCGGUGGUAUAAGAUGGACCCGCGUUGGAUUAGCUGGUUGGUGGGGUAACGGCCCACCAAGGCGACGAUCCAUAGCCGGCCUGAGAGGGUGAACGGCCACAUUGGGACUGAGACACGGCCCAGACUCCUACGGGAGGCAGCAGUGGGGAAUAUUGCACAAUGGGGGAAACCCUGAUGCAGCGACGCCGCGUGAAGGAAGAAGUAUCUCGGUAUGUAAACUUCUAUCAGCAGGGAAGAUAGUGACGGUACCUGACUAAGAAGCCCCGGCUAACUACGUG